rnacentral:rRNA from 1 species
GACGAACGCUGGCGGCGUGCUUAACACAUGCAAGUCGAACGGAAAGGCCCUGCUUUUGUGGGGUGCUCGAGUGGCGAACGGGUGAGUAACACGUGAGUAACCUGCCCUUGUCUUUGGGAUAACUUCAGGAAACUGGGGCUAAUACCGGAUAGGAGCUCCUGCUGCAUGGUGGGGGUUGGAAAGUUUCGGCGGUUGGGGAUGGACUCGCGGCUUAUCAGCUUGUUGGUGGGGUAGUGGCUUACCAAGGCUUUGACGGGUAGCCGGCCUGAGAGGGUGACCGGCCACAUUGGGACUGAGAUACGGCCCAGACUCCUACGGGAGGCAGCAGUGGGGAAUAUUGCACAAUGGGCGGAAGCCUGAUGCAGCAGCGCCGCGUGCGGGAUGACGUCCUUCGGGUGGUAAACCGCUUUCGACUGUGACGAAGCGUGAGUGACGGUAAUGGGUAAAGAAGCACCGGCUAACUACGUG